CUGGCGGAUGCCUUACACAUGCAAGUCGAACGGCAGCACGGGCUUCGGCCUGGUGGCGAGUGGCGAACGGGUGAGUAAUACAUCGGAACGUGCCCUGUUGUGGGGGAUAACCAGUCGAAAGAUUGGCUAAUACCGCAUACGACCUGAGGGUGAAAGCGGGGGACCGCAAGGCCUCGCGCANNNNGAGCGGCCGAUGUCUGAUUAGCUAGUUGGUUGGGGUAAAGGCCCACCAAGGCGACGAUCAGUAGCUGGUCUGAGAGGACGAUCAGNCACACUGGGACUGAGACACGGNCCAGACUCCUACGGGAGGCAGCAGUGGGGAAUUUUGGACAAUGGGGGCAACCCUGAUCCAGCAAUGCCGUGUGUGUGAAGAAGGCCUUCGGGUUGUAAAGCACUUUUGUCCGGAAAGAAAACCUUCGUCCGAAUACGGUGNGGGGAUGACGGUACCGGAAGAAUAAGUAC
rnacentral:rRNA from 1 species